rnacentral:rRNA from 1 species
UACGAAGGGAGCUAGCGUUGUUCGGAAUCCCUGGGCGUAAAGCGCACGUAGGCGGAUGUGUCAGUCAGGGGUGAAAUCCCGGAGCUCAACUUCGGAACUGCCUUUGAUACAGCACGUCUUGAGUCCGAUAGAGGUGGGUGGAAUUCCUAGUGUAGAGGUGAAAUUCGUAGAUAUUAGGAAGAACACCGGUGGCGAAGGCGGCCCACUGGAUCGGUACUGACGCUGAGGUGCGAAAGCGUGGGGAGCAAACAGG